CUUACCAUGCAGUCGAACGGCAGCACGGGGGCAACCCUGGUGGCGAGUGGCGAACGGGUGAGUAAUACAUCGGAACGUGUCCUGUAGUGGGGGAUAGCCCGGCGAAAGCCGGAUUAAUACCGCAUACGCUCUACGGAGGAAAGGGGGGGAUCUUAGGACCUCCCGCUACAGGGGCGGCCGAUGGCAGAUUAGCUAGUUGGUGGGGUAAAGGCCUACCAAGGCGACGAUCUGUAGCUGGUCUGAGAGGACGACCAGCCACACUGGGACUGAGACACGGCCCAGACUCCUACGGGAGGCAGCAGUGGGGAAUUUUGGACAAUGGGCGAAAGCCUGAUCCAGCAAUGCCGCGUGUGUGAAGAAGGCCUUCGGGUUGUAAAGCACUUUUGUCCGGAAAGAAAACCUCCGCCCUAAUAUGGUGGGGGGAUGACGGUACCGGAAGAAUAAGCACCGGCUAACUACGUGCCAGCAGCCGCGGUAAUACGUAGGGUGCAAGCGUUAAUCGGAAUUACUGGGCGUAAAGCGUGCGCAGGCGGUCCGCUAAGACAGAUGUGAAAUCCCCGGGCUUAACCUGGGAACUGCAUUUGUGACUGGCGGGCUAGAGUAUGGCAGAGGGGGGUAGAAUUCCACGUGUAGCAGUGAAAUGCGUAGAGAUGUGGAGGAAUACCGAUGGCGAAGGCAGCCCCCUGGGCCAAUACUGACGCUCAUGCACGAAAGCGUGGGGAGCAAACAGGAUUAGAUACCCUGGUAGUCCACGCCCUAAACGAUGUCAACUAGUUGUUGGGGAUUCAUUUCCUUAGUAACGUAGCUACGCGUGAAGUUGACCGCCUGGGGAGUACGGUCGCAGAUAAAU
rnacentral:rRNA from 1 species